GACGAACGCUGGCGGCGUGCUUAACACAUGCAAGUCGAACGGAAAGGCCCUGCUUUGGUGGGGUGCUCGAGUGGCGAACGGGUGAGUAACACGUGAGUAACCUGCCCUUGACUGUGGGAUAACUUCAGGAAACUGGGGCUAAUACCGGAUAGGAGCUCCUGCUGCAUGGUGGGGGUUGGAAAGUUUCGGCGGUUGGGGAUGGACUCGCGGCUUAUCAGCUUGUUGGUGGGGUAGUGGCUUACCAAGGCUUUGACGGGUAGCCGGCCUGAGAGGGUGACCGGCCACAUUGGGACUGAGAUACGGCCCAGCCUCCUACGGGAGGCAGCAGUGGGGAAUAUUGCACAAUGGGCGGAAGCCUGAUGCAGCAACGCCGCGUGCGGGAUGACGGCCUUCGGGUUGUAAACCGCUUUCGCCUGUGACGAAGCGUGAGUGACGGUAAUGGGUAAAGAAGCACCGGCUAACUACGUG
rnacentral:rRNA from 1 species